GUUUAUUUAUUUAUUUAUUUUUGGUACCAGGAUUUAACCCAAGGGCACUUAACCACUGAGCCACAUCCCCAGCCCUUUAUUUUUUAUUUUGAGACAGGGCCUCACUAGGUUGCUUACAGACUUCUAAGUUGCUGAGGGUGGCUUUGAACCUGCAAGCCUCCUGAGCCACUGGGAUUACAGGUAUGUACCACCAUGCCUGGCUUUAGAGUUGAUUUUUGUGCAGGAUGAGAGAGAUGGAUCUAGUCUCAUUUUUCUACAAAUGGAUAUCCAGUUUUCUCAGCACUGUUUGUUAAAGAGGUUGUCUUUUCUCUAAUUGAAAGUCUACAACCCAGUGGAUGGUGAAGUGUGAGUUCUAUUAUAUAUAUAUGAGGAUCUUAGAACAUUCUUGACAUUUAAAAGAAAUUCACUGAGUCCCCAUCUCUUUCCAGGGAUUCUGAGCAUGACUGUGUAUGUGAGUCAUAUUGACAUUUUUCCAGAAGGGGCUUAUGGUACCUGCCAUAAUCUCCAUAGAUCCCCAGGCUUCCCAAAAUGAAAACACAAUUGCAUGCAAAAAAUAUCCUUACUAUAGAAACAAAAUUCCAACUAGCUAUACAAAAAUAACCCUGGUCUUCUGCCCCUUCCAAGACUCUUCAGCACAGCAAUUCUCUGGUAGCUUCUUAUGAUUCCUGAUACAUUUGUGGUUCCUGACCUUAGAGGUCUAUGGAAAUCAGCUAUGGAAUCAGCAUAGGUGUUCAUCAAUGGAUGAAUGGAUAAAGAAAAUGUAAUAUAUACAUAAUGGAGUUUAACUCAGCCAUAAAGAAAAAUGAAAUUAUAUCGUUUGCAGGAAAAUGGAUAGAACUUGAGAACAUUAUGUUAAGGGAAAUAAGCCAAAAUCAGAAGGUCAAGGGGCAUUGUGUUUUCUCUCGUAUGUUGAAGCUAGAGAAGAAGUGUGAGGGGGCAGGUCAUGAAAAUUGAAGGGAGAUCAGUAGAUUAUCUUGCAUCCAGAAGAGAGAAGUCCAAAUGGGAGGCUGAAUAGAGAGGCUUAAAUACAGGUUCAGUCUAUGUUAUGGUAUUUGCCAUUUUUUUAUAGGACCUUGGACUGCAUUUCAGUUCUCACCAAAGUCAUAAGUGCCAAAUAAGUCAUCUUGCAUCUUAGGGUGUCUUUCCAAGUAAAUUGUCUUCUCUAUCUUGUAGCUGGCAAACAGUAGAUGUCCUUUAUCAUAGGUAGGCCCAGAAUUUGAAUUGAAGACCUCUGUCCUCAACCAUGUUCAUCUUGACAAGGACAGAAUAGGAGGAAGUGUUGCCUGAUUGUUGGUCUCAGUGGAUUUCCCUGUCAUGCUACCUAGGUAGAUAAGAACAUUGCCAAAGAAAGUUCUUCAUUAUGCACAGUCAAGAGUAGCCUCAAAUUUCCAAACCAAUGGAAGUGACUGAGAAGUACAUUGAAUGGACAAUUAGAGUUUUUUUUAAAGGAAGGAAUUUUUUAAAUACCUUUAUUCUAUUUAUUCAUUUGUAUGUGGUGCUGAGGAUCGAACCCAGGGCCUCACAUGUGCUAGGCAAGCACUCUACCGCUGAGCUAUUGCCCCAGUCCGGAUAAUUAGGGUUUUUUGGUCAUAACUGCCAGGAGACUCUCAGGUCAGGUUCUGGUUGGUGUUGCUCCUAAUUUGGGGUCACAGCUGGGGUAACCAUCACUGGGCCUCAUGUCUGUUACUGUGAUGUUCAGGUCCAAGCCUCUAGUCAACAGCCUCUGUCAAUUCCACAGAAUUUUCUCUUUUUCCUUUUGCUUCCUCUCAGUCUCUUAACCUCCUGCCCUCUCUGAGGUUAAUCCGAUGACAUAGCUGUAUUGAUGGAUGACACAGAGUUAAAUUAAUGUCAUUUUCAGGUACAAUCUACAAUGUUAACCAGGGGCUACAUUGCCUGAAGUCUCAUUUUUCUCCAAGUGAGAAAUGAGUCAAUCUGCCAGAGGACACAGAAGUCAGAGAAAAAUGGCACACAUCUCUACAAAAGGGCAUUAUUUUUAUGAUAAAACACAGGCACUUUAAAAAUUCAUACCCUUAUCAUGAAGAAGAAUGUGAAGUCUGCAUGGAUAUUUGAGAUACAGCAUCACAUGCAAAUAAAAGCUGUCUUCCAGCUCUCUCUUGGGGACAGUGCUCCCAACUUCCCAGAGUGGCCCUUCUGUGCCUCUGCCACUGGAAAGCUGCAGUGGAGAAGUCUGAGAGGCUCUGCCCUCAUUUGGAGAUGAGUGAUGGUGGAAACUAAGGGACCAUGUGUGUGCAAGGAAGUGGAUUUUGGUGGGGAUUCCAUGAGGAUCUCCUCAAAUCACAUCACAGAAAGAGCUACCCUGUGGCCUGAAUCUGUCUAGGUCAGCACCUUUGAUGGUUAAGGAGUCCAGCACCUCCAGCUCUCUUGGUCUUCCUCCCUCUCCAUCCCCAGGCACUGACGUAUGGUGGUAGAGACUGGGUGGCAGCUGCCAUGUUGCCAUUUGUGCAUCCCAGCCAUGGCCCUCCUUUCUCAGGAAAAAAACUGUGGAUGACGACCAUGGUCAACUCAUGUAACCUUUCUGAGCUUUAAUUUUCCUCACCUGUAAAAUGGAGAUAAUAAUAAUACCCCAUGACUUUGUAUCAAAGACAAAAAUAAAUUAUAUGUGUGAAAACAUAUUAUAAACUACAGUGCUUCAUAAACAUGCUGGCUAUUAUCAUGCUGGGUUACACUCAGGUCUGGAUGGUUUAGCUUCUUGUUGAUUUAUGCAUUUGUUAGUUUACUUAUCCAAGGGCCCAG
rnacentral:lncRNA from 1 species